CGCAUGUGACUCAACGGGACAGGGACUUUGUGAAGGGAGGAGCCGAUGUGGGAAAGUGUCAAAAUGUUUUGUCGCCUCCUGUCAGCCUGUCGACCAGUUGACCAGUUGGCCAGUUGACCAGCCCUCUCGGAAUUCGCCGACAGUUUUCCCCCACAUAAAGUAUCUGAAUUAUGUAGCCGUAAAUUAUGGUUGGGAAAUGCAGGAAAUUAGCAUAAACCUUGACUCACCCACGACCAACUGCUGAGCGGACUUUGUUUUCCCGCGAUCCAGUUAGAAAGUAGUAAAAGUUCGUUAGCCAGAACUCUUGUCAGUCGCUACAAAGUUGAAAAUGUUAAUUUUCCAAAUGCAUUUCUGUUGUUGUCAUGGGCAUUGCAUGUAUGACAUGCUUUUGAUGAUUUGUAAGCUGUGAUUCAGCGAUCAGUGAUCAGCGAUCUAAUGAAAGCUAAUGAGCUUUCUGAAAGCAUAUACAAAGAAUUGCACAAGGCUUUAAAUGUAACGCUUUGGUCGCAUGCCACCCAGGAUUUAACCGAUCCCAAUCCCUUAUCAGCGUGGCCAAUUACAAGUAAAGAAGUAAAGUGCCAGAUAAAACACUUCUGCCCUCAGAUAGCACACACCUAUCGGUGCUCAGUAGUUACUCCAGGGAACUGUUGCAAAAAAUCGAGAAAAAUAGCCGAACAAAGGGAGCGACAGGGGACGAGGUGGGCUAAGAGGCGAUAAGAGGAACAAGCCAGGUAGAUUCCUGAUUUUAACCUGGCCCAAAUGUCCAACGAAUUGACAAUUUAUGUGACAGGCCGUGCAUAAUUGAGGCCUUUGGCAAUUGGCAACUGCUGUUGGCCAGGUACGCCCGCCGGGUAAUAGGAUCGUCGUGUGCCUUUGGCCGCUGCGUCGUCGGUCGAAUAUCAAAGAAUCGAAUCCCAUACAAUUGGAGUGAUUUAUAUGACCAUUGAUAGACUGAUUUUUAUAGACUACAGCCAAUUAACAGCUGCCUUCGACUUCCGUUUUUGGGGCAACGGUUGACGGACUUAAUCUAUUGCCUCUAAUUGUGGAUAAUUGUGGCUAGCGCCAAGGUCGGUUGAUUGAUUUGUCCGGGCCAUAAACUUCUUGAAAGAGGGAUGUGCCAGCAAUAAGACAUAGUCCCCGGAAAACGGAACAGACCUCUCCACGUGAACCCAUCUCAAGUGUUAUCGCCGCCGGGCACUAAACCGACUUAGUGGCAAUUCUCUAUUGUUAAGCUCUUAGUCCAGCGAUAAGACAUAAUUUAGCCAAAGUUACCAGUUCUAACCGGUUGUCCACUUAUCUACAAAGUAGACUUCCCUUUCCAGUUACACCCGCUGCCAUAUAAACUAUGGUAUAUAUAGUAAUUUAAACGGACGCGCCUCUGAUCUACGGUGCUUCCUGACUCACCUCAAGUGAUAACUCUAAUUUAGCUUGCGAAUUCUUGGAAAUUAAAUUGCUGUGGUCAGGGCUAAAUGGAAUUUGUGAUUAGAGCCCAAUUUAGCACGCAAUUGCGGAAGCCCUCCAAUGGAACUUAGAAUUGGAACUUGCACCAUUUUGAGUACAUGUGUGUAUAAAUAGCACUGUGUAAAGGGAUUCCCCGCAAUUUGUGUAAAUAUUUGUUCUAAGUACAUAAUACGAUGAUUUUCGGUUGAUCACGAGUAUGAUUGAUA